rnacentral:rRNA from 1 species
GAUGAACGCUGGCGGCGUGCCUAAUACAUGCAAGUCGAGCGAACAGAUGAGGAGCUUGCUCCUCUGACGUUAGCGGCGGACGGGUGAGUAACACGUGGAUAACCUACCUAUAAGACUGGGAUAACUUCGGGAAACCGGAGCUAAUACCGGAUAAUAUAUUGAACCGCAUGGUUCAAUAGUGAAAGACGGUUUUGCUGUCACUUAUAGAUGGAUCCGCGCCGCAUUAGCUAGUUGGUAAGGUAACGGCUUACCAAGGCAACGAUGCGUAGCCGACCUGAGAGGAGGGUCGGCCGCACUGGAACUGCGACGCGGUCCAGACGCCUACGGGAGGCAGCAGUAGGGAAUCUUCCGCAAUGGGCGAAAGCCUGACGGAGCAACGCCGCGUGAGUGAUGAUGGUCUUCGGAUCGUAAAACUCUGUUAUUGGGGAAGAACAAAUGUGUAAGUAACUAUGCGCGUCUUGACGGUACCUAAUCAGAAAGCCACGGCUAACUACGUG